rnacentral:rRNA from 1 species
UGGGGAAUAUUGCGCAAUGGGCGAAAGCCUGACGCAGCAACACCGCGUGAGGGAUGACGGCCUUCGGGUUGUAAACCUCUUUCAGCUCCGACGAAGCGAGAGUGACGGUAGGAGCAGAAGAAGCACCGGCUAACUACGUGCCAGCAGCCGCGGUAAUACGUAGGGUGCAAGCGUUGUCCGGAAUUAUUGGGCGUAAAGAGCUCGUAGGCGGCUCGUCACGUCUGCCGUGAAAACCCGGGGCUCAACCCCGGGCCUGCGGUGGAUACGGGCGAACUAGAGUCCGGUAGGGGAGACUGGAAUUCCUGGUGUAGCGGUGGAAUGCGCAGAUAUCAGGAGGAACACCGAUGGCGAAGGCAGGUCUCUGGGCCGGAACUGACGCUGAGGAGCGAAAGCGUGGGGA